CAGAAAUGAAGUAAAGGCAUUUGGAAGGAGGAGUGAAGCAGAAUUGUUCCAAUCAUUGGGGAUUCAGCAGUGAACAAAACAGACACAAUUCCUUGGUUUCAAGAUACCUGCAUUCUGAUAAAACGUGUGAGACGAUAAUAACCAAGGUUGUGUCACACCUUUUCCUGAACUUUGGCUCAAUUGAAGAAGGAAACUUUCAGGGGAAUUCCAAUAGUAAACAACAGAACCAGCAGUUUUACAAUAAACUGCAGAGCUCCAUUUCAAAACACAAAAAUAGAGCGUCUCUGCAGUGAUGUACUGCCUUAAGGAAGGUAGAUUCCACCUUUGAAGGAGUCUUACAAAACCAUUGCCUUUAUCUACAUUUAGCAGGUAAAUGCAAUGAUUAAAUAUGAAGAAGAGCAUUGACAAGAUGAAAUGGGCUCAUUCUCAGCAAUGUUAUUUCAAAAAGAAAACCUGAGUGAUUCACGUAUUCAUAUGUCCAUCUGAAAAUGUCCUUCUCUCAACAAACUACUCAGUGAAAACUCAUCUUCAUAUAGUUAAUGCUGGAGUGCUAAUAAACUGUUGCAAAUUUCAAAAAUAGUGUCAUAACUUCCUAUACAGAGUCUAAAGAAAGUGGAGGUGUGAUGUAGUCUAGGGUUAUCAAUAGGGCAGCAUGACUUGAUGGGGCUUAAGACUUCUACACAC
rnacentral:lncRNA from 1 species